GCUUGCACCUCUUGAGAGCGGCGGACGGGUGAGUAAAGCCUAGGAAUCUGCCUGGUAGUGGGGGAUAACGCUCGGAAACGGACGCUAAUACCGCAUACGUCCUACGGGAGAAAGCAGGGGACCUUCGGGCCUUGCGCUAUCAGAUGAGCCUAGGUCGGAUUAGCUAGUUGGUGAGGUAAUGGCUCACCAAGGCGACGAUCCGUAACUGGUCUGAGAGGAUGAUCAGUCACACUGGAACUGAGACACGGUCCAGACUCCUACGGGAGGCAGCAGUGGGGAAUAUUGGACAAUGGGCGAAAGCCUGAUCCAGCCAUGCCGCGUGUGUGAAGAAGGUCUUCGGAUUGUAAAGCACUUUAAGUUGGGAGGAAGGGCAUUAACCUAAUACGUUAGUGUUUUGACGUUACCGACAGAAUAAGCGCCGGCUAACUCUGUGCCAGCAGCCGCGGUAAUACAGAGGGUGCAAGCGUUAAUCGGAAUUACUGGGCGUAAAGCGCGCGUACGUGGUUCGUUAAGUUGGAUGUGAAAUCCCCGGACUCAACCUGGUGACUGCAUUCAAAACUGUCGAGCUAGAGUAUGGUAGAGGUGGUGCAAUUUCCUGUGUAGCUCGAAAUGCGUAGAUGA
rnacentral:rRNA from 1 species